GAUGAACGCUGGCGGCGUGCCUAAUACAUGCAAGUCGAACGGUUGGUCGCAAGACCGAUAGUGGCGAACGGGUGAGUAACGCGUUGGUGACCUGCCCUAAAGCGAGGGAUAACAGUCCGAAAGGGCUGCUAAUACCGCAUAAUCUGGUGGACGGCUAGAGAGCUACCAGGAAAGCCGAAAGGCGCUAAAGGAGGGGCCUGCGUCCCAUCAGCUAGUUGGUAAGGUAACGGCUUACCAAGGCGAUGACGGGUAGGGGACCUGAGAGGGUGGCCCCCCACAAUGGAACUGAAACACGGUCCAUACACCUACGGGUGGCUGCCUGGACAAGGCACACAGGGGAUAGG
rnacentral:rRNA from 1 species